rnacentral:rRNA from 1 species
GGGAAGAAGGGGGGGAACGGCCCCGGUACUUAC